rnacentral:rRNA from 1 species
UACGUAGGGCGCAAGCGUUGUCCGGAAUUAUUGGGCGUAAAGAGCUCGUAGGCGGUUUUGUCGCGUCUGCUGUGAAAUCCUCAGGCUCAACUUGGGGGCGUGCAGUGGGGUACGGGCAGACUAGAGUGCGGUAGGGGGAGACUGGAAUUCCUGGUGUAGCGGUGGAAUGCGCAGAUAUCAGGAGGAACACCGAUGGCGAAGGCAGGUCUCUGGGCCGUAACUGA